GUGAGGAAUAUUGCGCAAUGGAGGCAACUCUGACGCAGCCAUGCCGCGUGCAGGAAGAAGGCGCUACGCGUUGUAAACUGCUUUUAACCGGGAAGAAACCCCAGGACGUGUCCUGGGUUGACGGUACCGGAGGAAUAAGCACCGGCUAACUUCGUGCCAGCAGCCGCGGUAAUACGAAGGGUGCAAGCGUUAUCCGGAUUCAUUGGGUUUAAAGGGUGCGUAGGCGGAGCGUUAAGUCAGUGGUGAAAUCCUGCAGCUUAACUGUAGACUUGCCAUUGAUACUGGCGUUCUUGAGUGCGCUUGAAGUGGGCGGAAUGUGCCGUGUAGCGGUGAAAUGCUUAGAUAUGGCACAGAACACCAAUUGCGAAGGCAGCUCACUAAGGCGAUACUGACGCUGAGGCACGAAAGCGUGGGGAUCGAACAGGAUUAGAUACCCGGGUAGUCC
rnacentral:rRNA from 1 species